UGCGUAACAGAAACCAGUUAUGAAAUGCAGAUAACAGAGCCCAGGUGGCCACCAUUCUUUCCCAGCUCCAGGGGAGAAGUCCUGGGAAACACAGCCUUAGGCCGGCAGCUGGCUCAGAGGCCCCUGGAUUCCUUUGACUCUGAGAUAAGUUCACAGAUCCUACCAUCAUGCAACAGGGAGUUCCCAGAGCAAAUGCUUCCUCCCUCGGAGUAGCUGUGAGUGCAGGGCUCUGGCCGGAAGAGGCUGCAGUCCACAGUGCUCUGGAGGAAACUGCCACUUCAUGUCAACUCACUCAGCCUCCUCAGCGUGAGUCCUCAUUUGCCAAAGGCAUAACUGGGCAGCAGUUGCCGCUCUUCAAGACAGCAGAAUGCAGGGGACCUGGAGAGUAGCCGGGCAGAUGGGAGCCCCCAGUGCCUCCAGGCACACAAAGUUGAUCAGCCUCAUCGAUUUUAGCCCACCGGCUUAACGAAAGGAAAAGUCUCAUUUAUGCGUCUCAAGCUGUAAACAAAACGUUUUGGCUUCCAUGGAGGGAGGGAUGACUCAGAAGCCCGGCUCAGCAUUAGUCACAGCCUUCCUCUGUGAGCCUUCUUUUGUCAAAAGAGAGGCUGGACUACAGUGAUGACUUGAAGCUGAAGCUCCCAGUUCCCAUUCAGCAUCAUGAGAGAGGCUGUGAAGCAGCCAUGGAAAGAAACCAACCAGAAUUCCAAAGCAGACCUAUCCAAAAGUCAAAUCGAUUCCUGGGAAGACCCACCCUGAAGUGUGGGAAGACCCACCCUGAAGUGGUGGACAGCACCAUUGCAUGGGUCGGGUCCUGACCUAUGCGAAAGUGAGAACACUGGCUGAGCAGGAGCAAAAAGCAAUCAAGUAUGAGUUUAUUCUCUCUUUGCUCUGGACCAUGGGUGAUAUGACUAACUGCUUAAGUUCCAAAUGAUGGACUGUAACCUAGAAUUAAUUGUAUGUAAAAUGGAUCCAACCUCUCCUCGGUUGCUGUUUGUCAAGAUACGCAUCACAGCGACAUAAAUUAAAACAAGACUCAGGUGAACUUUGAAAACCUUAUGCCAAAUCUAGACAUGCAGAGGACCACAGGGCUCAUGAUUUAAAGUCCACCAACGGUCUGUAUUUGGCAAAACUGCAGGGACAUCAAGUAAGUUACUAGUUGCCUGGGGCUGCAGGUUGGAGAUAGUAAGAGAGUAGUGACUAAAGACUAUGAGAUUAUAAAGUUGCUUUAAGGUAGAUGUAAAGUGGUGGUAAUGGUUGCACAAUAUUGUGAAGAUAAUAAAACUCAUUUUUUUAAAGUAAUAUACUACAGUACAGACAUGACUAGCAUUCCUUUUGAGAAAUUCCUACCAAAAUCACAUGAUCAGCAUCUAAUUAUGGGGAAACAUCAGAUAAAGGCAUCUGUGAAGAUCCACAGAGGCUAUCUAGUGAGAAAUCACUCAGGGUCAGAGAAUCUAAGCUUGCUUUACCAGCAGGACUGCAUAAAAUGAUGAUUUGGCCACAGGCAUGCUUACCAGGUGUUUGGAAGGAUCUACACUUGGCUGUGUGGUGUGCUUUGAUCUUGCAAGGGGGAGGUCUUUUGCCUCUCCCCUUGUCAUAUUAUAAAAAGCCCUUUAGAAUAAAGUUCUGGGCAGCUGAGUAUUGACCCAAGGCCCUCUCAAAGCUAUCCUGUGUCUCUGUCUUUCUCCUCAUUGUCUAGGUCUAUCUUUCUACCUAAUAGUUCCCCAUUCCUCUCUCCUCCACCUGAGAACCCUUCGAAAGGUGGGAGCAGGUUGGAGCUGGACUCUGGCAGACUCCCACAGGCAUCAUCCAGAAUAGCUGGUCUAUCUUUUGUAGGAGUCAUGGUCAAGAGAGAUAACAAAGAACUGCAAAGAGUUCCCAGAAAGAACAAGUGAGACAUGCAAGGUGGACCUGGAUCUUAGAGGCCCAACUGUCUUUCUUCUAUAAGCUGAUCAGUGAGGCAACGUCCUUCAUCUUAGUUCUUAUAACUUGCAUAUUCUAAUUUGCACCUCCAUAACUAUCAAUGGUGUCUUACAGCUAUCCAUAACUUCCCAGCCUUUUGAGUUUUGUGAAUAUUGAUUACUUAUGUAAUUGGCCAAUUUUUCUACAUUUUUCUUCAAUUUUGCGAGUUUUAGCAGUAGUUCAAUAUGCAUUAAAAUAUCUCCCUCCAUCUGAUCAUUACCCCCUUGACUUAUCCUAUGACUUGCCCACAAGUUGGACAGAGGCCUUGGGUAGAGGACUGAGCCUAUGGCCUCAGCCUAUGGAGUCAGAGGAGCUGUUUGCAGGUGGAACUUCUUCUUGUGGUGGAGGUCAGGAGCCUGAAGCUCCUUCUGCUUCCCCUUUCCAUUCCUGGCCAUGAGGUGAGCAGCCGCCUCUGUCAUACGUUCAUGAUGACAUACCACCUCACCACAAGCCACAAAGCAAUGAACCAACGAACAACUAGCCACAGGCUGAAUCCUCCAAAACCAUGAACCCAGGUGAACUUUUCUGCUUUUUGUGUUGAUUAUCUCAGGUGUUUUUUUUGCAGCCAUGCAAAGUUGAUAGCUUCAUGUCUAGUACAAUUUGAUAUUCAGAACCGUAUGUACAGUCAAGUAUAUCGGUCUCUCCUAAUAUAUAAUACCUUCCUGGUUUAUUGACUUUGAUUAAGAAGUCUCCCUGCCGGGCAGUGGUGGCACACGCCUUUAAUCCCAGCACUCAGGAGGCAGAGCCAGGUGGAUCUCUGUGAGUUCGAGGCCAGCAUGGACUACCAAGUGAGUCCCAGGAAAGGUGCAAAGCUACACAGAGAAACCCUGUCUCGAAAAACAACAACAACAAAAAAAGUCUCCCCUAUCACAAGCAUAAAAACAUGGCUCCUUGCAUUUUUGUUUUGUGAUUUUUGAAUUAAAUACUUUUACAUUUGAUUUGUGUAGGAUGUUUUGUAAUAUAGAUGAAGGAGGGAGUUCGAUUUUUCUUUUUCUAAAAAUGAUUUUUUUUUUUUUUGGUUUUAUGUGUGCAUGCACGUGUGUGUGCAGAUGCCAGAAGAGGAUGUCAGAUCUCCUGGAGCUGGAGUGACAAGCAGUUAUGAGCCACCGAUAUGGGUGCCGAGAACUCAGCUUGGGUCCUCUGGAAGAGCGGUGAGCGUUCUUAACCGCUGAGCCAUCUUUACAGACCCCUCUUCUCUUGUUUGGUGGAGACUUAGUGGCGCCAACACCUGUGAUAGGUAAAUCAUAAACCGACUCAAGAGAGACAGCACGGCAUGGGCAGCACUCAACAAGCAGGUAGCCUGAUCUGGGAUAUCCGCUCCACUGCUUUCUGUCUGUGUGACCUCAGGUUUGGGUGCCGGCUAGUUUUCAUGCCAACUUGACACAGGUUAGAAUCAACUGGGAAGAGAGAAUAUCAGUUGAGAAAAUGCUCCUAUGAGAUUGCCCCGUCGGAACGCCUGCAGGACACUUUCUCGGUAGGAUGAUUGACAUGGGAGGACCCAGUCCAUUGAAGGUGUCACUAUCCUGAAGUCAGCUUGGCCACAGUGACCUCACACAGGUAAACAGAAGAAAAGAAGGGGGCGUGGUAUCUCUAUCACUGCCCUCAGCCUGCCUGCCUGCCUGCCUGCCCACCCCUGGUGCCCCGAGACUGACUUUUCCUUCAGACAACUGAGGGCAAAGUUUCCAGAGUUUGGAAACACUUCAACCCUAAUGACACCACGGUUUUCUCCACUGCAGGUACUCAAGGCCAAUUUAUUGUGAGAAGAGAAAUGGAAAAGCACGGAAGGACAGACCUCUCCCCCCACCCCCCCACCCCCGUCCUGACCGCUCUAUGACACUGUUCUUGCUCUGAGGCCCUUUGAACCCACUUUUCUUUUUUUUUUAAAGAUUUAUUUAUUCAUUAUGUAUACAGUGAUCUUCCUGCAUGUAUGUCUGCAGGCCAGAAGAAGGCACCAGAUCUCAUUAGCUAUUUUCAGUCAACUCCUACCACUGACAACUGCCAUAGACCAAAGUUAACCCUCAAUGAGUUCUACAGGACACCCAGCUAUGCGUGGUUCCCUAGUCCCCCUGCCAUGGGAGCCCAGCUAUGUCAGGAAGAGCUGCAGGUUUGGGGCAAACAUCAAUGAGCUGUGUCCGGAAAGACUGUGGGGAUAUAUACAAGUAUCAACUAGCGGGACUCCUCUAAAACCUCGUUAAUGAAAAGUUGUAAAACCAUUUGUCUCUAAAAGUUUAACUUUGGAAUUGUAAAAAUCUUUUGUCCAUGCCUAAUGCUUUCCCCCUGAUAUACAAGGGGGGCUUGACACCUGCCCUGAUGGCCACAGCCUCAGAAUCCUGAACUCUGGCUGUGGUCUCAGCUAGCUGGUAAGCUUUUGUGUCCUACAGUGACUUUCUUUUCUUUCUUUGAUUUUUUUUUUUCCUGGAAUAAAGUUUGCUUCUGGUUUAAUAGA